CAAGCUAUUUUUAUGCUUGAGAAAAGCCACAUAGAAAUUACCAAAGGGCUAGUACAGUUUGGAAGAGGAAGUUGCUUUAGUUACGAUUGUGUCAGGAGUGCUAGUGGGACAAAGGCUAACUGGCCUGAGACCACAGCAAUUAUGGGGCUGGAAGGGAUUUCUCCAAGUCUUCCAUCUCACUAGAGGAAACGAUGAGGCCCUGGUCUCCAAAUGAACAACUUUUUGAACAACAUUGCAAAGUACUGACUGCCUGGCUGAUUUGAUUUUCUUGAUUCUGAAGUUUACCUGACGCUUUUCAUAACCUCAAGUUGCCUCUUUUCUGCGUAAUAGACUGCUUUGGAGGAAAUACUCCAAGGUCACUGGAUCGCCAGAAGGCCUGAUGGAGAGAACAGGAUCAUUGGUGAUCUGCUUUGAGCUGGGUGUGCUGUGUAGAGGAAACUGAAACAGAGUUGUGAGAAGCCAAGGAGAGGAAUGCAAAAGAAGCUGCUUGGACUUCCCAGGGCCCAAGAAGACAGGGAAGAUCUCAAUGAAGCUGAUGACAUAGAUGAGGAAUAUGGAGAUGACAAAGACGGUG